UGGAGAGUAGUGUAACGGUUAGCACUGGAGAUUUUGAAUCUCUUAGUUAGGGUUCGAAUCCCUACUUUCCUG
rnacentral:tRNA from 1 species